UCCGGUGUCGUUCAAUGGCAGGACAGCGGACUUUGAAUCCGCGAAUCGUGGUUCGAAUCCACGCGCCGGAA
rnacentral:tRNA from 2 species